AAUUAAGUUUAUUUUAUAUAACCCAACUGCGCAUUUUGAACAUAACAUUUCAAAAAAGUUAAAUGGAAUAAUGGGAAGCAAUACAUAAGCGAGAAAGAGCCGAACGCAGUCGCUCGAAAACGUGAAUCUUAAUCGAAGACUGCGGGUUUAAACCCUGAAACCACAAGCGUCACCUACAAAGAGCCAAAUAAAAGCGUAUUAUAUUAACAUCAAUUGUAGUACGGAGACUACCCAACUGAUUAACUCAAUCGCAUAUGUCAAAGAAGAAGUGACGGGAUAAGUAACUUUUUAUUUUACGACACACACAUACAUUUUACAACGAGGAAAUAUCUCGAGGUACUCCAACGCAUAUGAAGCCGUGAAUUAAAGCUAUUUUUACAACGGACAAAGAAUAGAGAAUAACUUCAGAAAAUCCCGGAAUUUAAAUUGAAUUUCAAUUCAGAAACAUAUUUGAAUCGAACAACGAAUUUUCAUUUCACGAAGCAAAUUCUUAAUAAUACAAUCUUAAAGACACUGCCACUGUGAGAAGUUUAAGUUUAAGCCACUGCUUCGGCCAUCAGCGCGCCGCCACCACGGGAACAUGUAUGGAAUUUGCUCACUGUCACUCAGUCGCUCAAACAAGUGGUCGGAUGCUAAGAAAUGAGUAUAU